ACUCAGCCCAGGCUUCCAGGCCCUCCUGGGCCCUCCUAUCCACUGAAGGAAAUGGGAGAUGAGUGGGUAAUGGAAAAGCCUUUGGAGUCAGAUGUAAAUCCAUGACUUGACCACUUAUUGCUGUGAGACCCUGGACAGCUGGAUAUAGAGUUCUUGUUCUAGCAUCCGCCCUGGGAAUCCCCGGAACUGGGCCUCUUACCGACACCAUUGCCUGUAAUCCACAAACCUAGGAGCACAUGGUUAAAGCAUGAGAUGUGAAACCAGGAAGAACCAGGUCUGAACCUUAGCUCCACCAGUGGUAGCUUCAAACCUUGGUCCUUUCUGAGCCUGCUUCUUCAACCGUAAGGAACUCGGAAACGGGACCCAGAAAGUUGUUUUCUCAAGUGGAUGGAACAACACAAGCAAUCAGUAUCCUGAAACAGGCCCUG
rnacentral:lncRNA from 10 species